rnacentral:rRNA from 1 species
AGCGCAGGUGGUUGUAUAAGUCUGAAGUAAAAGGCAGUGGCUCAACCAUUGUGUGCUUUGGAAACUGUACAACUUGAGUGCAGAAGGGGAGAGUGGAAUUCCAUGUGUAGCGGUGAAAUGCGUAGAUAUAUGGAGGAACACCGGUGGCGAAAGCGGCUCUCUGGUCUGUAACUGACACUGAGGCCGAAAGCGUGGGGAGCAAACA